UACGUAGGGUGCGAGCGUUGUCCGGAAUUAUUGGGCGUAAAGAGCUUGUAGGCGGUUUGUCGCGUCUGCUGUGAAAAUCCGGGGCUCAACCCCGGACUUGCAGUGGGUACGGGCAGACUAGAGUGUGGUAGGGGAGACUGGAAUUCCUGGUGUAGCGGUGAAAUGCGCAGAUAUCAGGAGGAACACCGGUGGCGAAGGCGGUCUCUGGGCAGUACCUGACGCUGAGGAGCG
rnacentral:rRNA from 1 species